rnacentral:rRNA from 1 species
UACGUAGGGUGCAAGCGUUAAUCGGAAUUACUGGGCGUAAAGCGUGCGCAGGCGGUUAUGCAAGACAGAUGUGAAAUCCCCGGGCUUAACCUGGGAACCGCAUUUGUGACUGCAUAGCUGGAGUACGGCAGAGGGGGAUGGAAUUCCGCGUGUAGCAGUGAAAUGCGUAGAUAUGCGGAGGAACACCGGUGGCGAAGGCAGUCCCCUGGGCCUGUACUGACGCUCAUGCACGAAAGCGUGGGGAGCAAACAGG